ACUCACAAUUUCUUAACUUCAAUUAUAUCAUAAAAUAAUUCAACUCAUUUAUAUUGUAAUUCAAACACUUCCAAUCUCAACCAAAACAUAUUCAAUAACUAUAUUCACAUCUCAAUCAACAUAAAAUCUAAAAUUUUACAAUUUAAUCUCAAUCUCAUACAACAUUCUAAUUUUCUAAAAACCAACCUCCCUGCAAGAAAAUUUGAGACUAGUGACUACGUCACCCCCACACCCAGAUCUUGUAACCUAGGGUUGUAUUUGAAAAUAAAAUUAACUUCCCUUAUCUGAGUUUGAGUAGGUGCUCAUUAAGAGAUCCAAUCCCACAAAAAUUCAAGGGUAGCUUAACCUGCACCACAAAAUCCUGAUAAAAAAAUCUAACUAUAUCAUUAGAACUUUGAGCUAACAGAGACUGGUCUUGAAGCUAAAAACACCACAUGCAAACCCUAUACAAAAGAUAAAUCUAAAAAUUUCAAAACUAACACAAGAAGAAGGAGCAAAAAAGAACUUAUUUUGUCUAAAAUUUUUAUUGAGUAGUCUUGUAGUAUUCACUGUUAGGUAUCCAAUGACAGACUCUGAUUAUCAUUCUGAUGACUGUGAGAUUCAGAAAGUUAGAAAAAUAAUGGUUAUUUUAAAAUAAAAUCUUAAUAACUGAAUUUUCUUUUUGUAUAUUUUUUUAUCUUAAUAAUAAAAUAUUUAGGUGUAAUUUAGAAUAUAACACUUAUACUCUAAAACUAUUUUCUAAGUAAUUACAUUGAAUGGUAGCUAACCAAGAAACACUUCCUACCAAAAUUUAGAUAUCUUCACCCGACAAGUAGACUUGGAGGUAGCUGAAACUCAAAAAAAAAAUUAUGUACUCAUAUACAUAUCAAAGAAACCCACACCAACUUUGAUUUAAAAUUGAUUAGUACAUAAUUAAUAUAAAAUAAGUAUAACUAAUAUAAAAAUGUAUUUUGUUUAAGAUUUAUUAGGGGGCAAGAAUAUGAUUAUCAAAUGCAACCUUACCUUUAUCAUCCCCUUGAUGCAUCAUGAGACAACUUGCAAAAUCAAGAAACAAACAUUGCAUAACUUAAAUCCUGCCCCAUAUACAAUAGAGAAGGACAUUGAACUCAUAUUCAUGAGACCAUACCUUAUAAAGGGCACGUGAAAACCAAUGUCUUCUUCAUUUUGAAAGCAUUAUGCAUGAAGGGUCUUGCAAUAGUUUCCAUGAGAAAAAAAUGAAAAACUUUAAGAACAAUUGUAGAACUACUUGAAUGUGUAGAUGGUGGAAAGUUGGUGAAAUUGUGAAGUGAGUAUUGAUUUAGUAUAUGCAAUUGAUACAAAACCAAUUAUUUAAUUAUUUGAACAAAUCCUCCAACAAAAACUUUAUUUUAAAAGGGAUAUUUGAUAAAAGUGUUGUUGUGGGAUAUUUGAUAACAGUUCAAAAACAUACCUUCUCACCAUUUAUGAUCUUAUCAAAAACCCCAUUCAAAGAAAGAACUUGCACAAGACUCCAAUCACAUUUUGUC
rnacentral:lncRNA from 1 species